CACGUAGGGACCAAGCGUUGUCCGGAUUCAUUGGGCGUAAAGAGCUCGUAGGCGGUUCGAUAAGUCGGGUGUGAAACCUCCAGGCUCAACCUGGAGACGCCACCCGAUACUGUCGUGACUAGAGUCCAGUAGGGGAGCGUGGAAUUCCUGGUGUAGCGGUGAAAUGCGCAGAUAUCAGGAGGAACACCGGUGGCGAAGGCGGGUCUCUGGGCCGUAACUGACGCUGAGGAGCGAAAGCGUGGGGAGCGAACAGG
rnacentral:rRNA from 1 species